UACGUAGGGGGCAAGCGUUGUCCGGAUUUAUUGGGCGUAAAGAGCGUGUAGGCGGUCCGGUCAGUCGGUUGUGAAAGUCAAGGGCUCAACCCUUGAACGCCGGCCGAUACUGCCGGGCUAGAGUCCGGAAGAGGUGAGUGGAAUUCCAGGUGUAGCGGUGAAAUGCGCAGAUAUCGGGAGGAACACCAAUGGCGAAGGCAGCUCGCUGGGACGUUACUGACGCUGAGACGCGAAAGCGUGGGGAGCAAACAGG
rnacentral:rRNA from 1 species